CAUGGAGAAAGCUGACUUGGCUGGUGUGGUGCAGAGAAGCCAGCUUGUUUAUGUGCUUAUUCCAUG
rfam:Macaca mulatta chromosome 10, whole genome shotgun sequence.